UACGUAGGGGGCAAGCGUUGUCCGGAAUUAUUGGGCGUAAAGAGCGUGUAGGCGGCCAGAUAAGUCCGCUGUGAAAUCUCGAGGCUCAACCUCGAGAUGUCGGCGGAAACCGUCUGGCUAGAGUCCGGAAGAGGAGAGUGGAAUUCCUGGUGUAGCGGUGAAAUGCGCAGAUAUCAGGAAGAACACCUAUGGCGAAGGCAGCUCUCUGGGACGGUACUGACGCUGAGACGCGAAAGCGUGGGGAGCGAACAGG
rnacentral:rRNA from 1 species